rnacentral:lncRNA from 1 species
AGUUCUGCGCUGUGAGCCGGGGCACAAAGAGCCCUCUGCACUAGCGCCGCAGGACCGCGGACCCGAGAGAGCAGCAAGUUCCUGGGACAGAGGAGACAGAAGGGAAUUUCCAGGUUCUUCAGGACGUUCACAACCACACUGAGAAGCAUCUUUGCAGAUAAGUAUUUAAACUUACCAGCCCAUAGCCUACCAGCCUGCCCUCUUCUGGUCUGUGCAGGAAAGUGUAGUAUCCUAGAAUGCCAAAGUGGGAGGGGAAAUGGGUGAUGUAGCUCAUUCUCUUUUCUACCUCUAUGGAAGAAAGAAAGAGCCUGUCCCCAUUUUGUGGGGUCCCAGAAAGGGUGAUUUUCACACUUCACAUUUGGCGUUAGGGCUAGUAUUUCACAAACAUUACCGUCUGGAACUUUUGAAGGCUGAGUUAAAUGACUUCAUCUUGUGUACUUGUAGAACUGCUAUUAGAAGGAGGCUGGGGACUCCCUGAUGAUGUGAACCAGCCCUUCUCUUCUCAGUUUCAGCACUUUGUGAUCAUAUUUAUAAACCUUGGACAGGGCUCCUUGGCCUUAGAGUUAAGUGAAGAG